rnacentral:rRNA from 1 species
AACCUGCGGAAGGAUCAUUGUCAAAAGACCAGAGCAACAAGUGAACCUGUUCAGCGAAUCCUCGUCCGCGCCUUGCUCUCCGGGCCACGAGCGAGCCGUCCCUGUCGUCCUCGCGCGGCACGUCCGGCGGCGGCGGCGAGGGUCAGGAGUCGUGGCACCGCGGGCGACAACAGCACCCUUAGGGCGCGGCAUGCGCCAAGGAUUAAUAAUUGACGCGGAAGGGGAGGCGGCCUAUGCUAAUAUGGCAGGGGACCCGCAGCCCGUCUGUGAAACGUUUAGACGACUCUCGGCAACGGAUAUCUCGGCUCUCGCAUCGAUGAAGAACGUAGCGAAAUGCGAUACUUGGUGUGAAUUGCAGAAUCCCGUGAACCAUCGAGUCUUUGAACGCAAGUUGCGCCCGAGGCCACCCGGCCGAGGGCACGUCUGCCUGGGCGUCACGACGCCCUCCGCUUCCCCUGCUUGGGUGACUUUUGUGGGGGGGGGAGCGUAGAAUGGCCGCCCGUGCCCGAGGGUGCGGCAGGCCGAAAGGAAGGACAGCGUGCGCCGUGGCGCGGCGUGUUGUGGAUGACCGGCGAGGUCAUCGCCUCGCGUGCGCCGCGCCGCAAAUCCCGCCGCGCGUGGAGUCGGACGUUGGACCCCAAUCGGACAGCGACCCCAGG